rnacentral:rRNA from 1 species
GAUUCUGGCUCAGGAUGAACGCUAGCGACAGGCUUAACACAUGCAAGUCGAGGGGCAGCACGGGAGUAGCAAUACAACUGGUGGCGACCGGCGCACGGGUGAGUAACGCGUAUGCAACCUACCUAUCAGAGGGGAAUAACCCGGCGAAAGUCGGACUAAUACCGCAUAAAACAGGGGCACCGCAUGGUGAUAUUUGUUAAAGAAAUUCGCUGAUAGAUGGGCAUGCGUUCCAUUAGGUAGUUGGUGAGGUAACGGCUCACCAAGCCGACGAUGGAUAGGGGAACUGAGAGGUUGGUCCCCCACACUGGUACUGAGACACGGACCAGACUCCUACGGGAGGCAGCAGUGAGGAAUAUUGGUCAAUGGGCGAGAGCCUGAACCAGCCAAGUUCCGCGUGAAGGAAGAAGGAUCUAUGGUUACGUAAACUUCUUUGCGAGGGAAUAAAGUGCGGGACGUGUCCUGUUUUGUAUGUACCCUGAGAAUAAGGAUCGGCUAACUCCGUGCCAGCCGCCGC